UACGUAGGUGGCAAGCGUUGUCCGGAUUUAUUGGGUUUAAAGGGUGCGUAGGCGGCCCUGUAAGUCAGUGCUGAAAUAUCCCGGCUUAACCGGGAGGGUGGCAUUGAUACUGCGGGGCUAGAGUACAGAUGAGGUAGGCGGAAUUGACGGUGUAGCGGUGAAAUGCUUAGAUAUCGGGAGGAACACCAGUGGCGAAGGCGGUUACCUGGACGAGUACUGACGCUAAGACGCGAAAGCGUGAAGAACAAACAGG
rnacentral:rRNA from 1 species